rnacentral:rRNA from 1 species
AACGAACGCUGGCGGCGUGGAUUAGGCAUGCAAGUCGAACGAGAAAGGCCCCUUCGGGGGCUAAGUAGAGUGGCGAACUGGUGAGUACAAAGUGGGCAACGUGCCCGGUUGUGGGGGAUAACAUCGAGAAAUCGGUGCUAAUACCGCAUGUCAUCUUUCCCUUAUGGGGAAGAAAAAAGGUGCUCGGACUUCGGUUCGAGUGUCGCGACCGGAUCGACUCACUCCCCAUUAGCUUGUUGGUAGGGUAAUGGCCUACCAAGGCAACGAUGGGUAGCUGGCCUGAGAGGGUGGUCAGCCACACUGGGACUGAGAUACGGCCCAGACUCCUACGGGGGGCAGCAGUCUAGAGGCAUCCACAAUAGGGGAAACCCUGAUGGUGCGACGCCGCGUGUGGGAUGAAGGCCCUUGGGUUGUAAACCACUGUCAGGAGAGAAUAAGGUUCUAUAGCUGUCGCUAUAGGAAUUGAAGGUAUCUCCAGAGGAAGCACCGGCUAACUCCGUG